AGAAAAUCACAUAGAGUGAAGUUUAAUCAUAUUGGUGGUAUAAAGAAUGUGAAUCCUUAAUAUGAAUACUAAGGAACAAAAUUAUAGUGGUGCAGAAGAAAAUCAUUUUUCUGACUUAAAUUAUUAAAAUUCAA